rnacentral:misc_RNA from 1 species
UCACCCCUCAAGCCCCGUGCUUGGUGUUGGACGGCCGGUCGAGCGAUCGACCCCUCCUAAAGACAAUGACGGCGGCCUGUGGUUCCCCCGGUACACUGAGCUUUUAACUGAGCACGUAUCGGACAAGGGCACCCGGACCCGGUCCUCUCCUUUAACUAGGAAACUUCUAA